rnacentral:misc_RNA from 1 species
GUGAAUCAUCGAAUCUUUGAACGCAUAUUGCACUCCUUGGUAUUCCGGGGAGCAUGCCUAUUUGAGGGUCAUUUGAACUACUAUAAAUUAGCAGAUUUUUCGGACUUUAAAAUGGGAGGUCCACUUUUUGUGGUCGUCUAAAAUCCAACUCAAGCUCAUUUUCUUGGGUUUCGUGAUACUUUAAGUUACGUCGUGACUUAACAAGGCAUCAUCGGUUGUGUUAUGAUUUUUGCAAGAGAUAU